UGGGGAAUUUUGGACAAUGGGCGAAAGCCUGAUCCAGCCAUGCCGCGUGAGUGAAGAAGGCCUUCGGGUUGUAAAGCUCUUUUAGUCGGAAAGAAAGAGUUGCAAUGAAUAAUUGUGAUUUAUGACGGUACCGACAGAAAAAGCACCGGCUAACUACGUGCCAGCGGCCGCGGUAAUACGUAGGGUGCGAGCGUUAAUCGGAAUUACUGGGCGUAAAGGGUGCGCAGGCGGUCUUGCAAGUCAGAUGUGAAAGCCCCGGGCUUAACCUGGGAAUUGCGUUUGAAACUACAAGGCUAGAGUGCAGCAGAGGGGAGUGGAAUUCCAUGUGUAGCAGUGAAAUGCGUAGAGAUGUGGAAGAACACCGAUGGCGAAGGCAGCUCCCUGGGUUGACACUGACGCUCAUGCACGAAAGCGUGGGGAGCAAACA
rnacentral:rRNA from 1 species